GUGCUCACUUCGGCAGCACAUAUACUAAAAUUGGAACGAUACAGAGAAGAUUAGCAUGGCCCCUGCGCACGGAUGACACGCUUUUAAAAAUUUUAAUAAUAAAA
rnacentral:snRNA from 1 species